AGUGAACGCUGGCGGUAGGCCUAACACAUGCAAGUCGAGCGGCAGCACAGUAAGAGCUUGCUCUUACGGGUGGCGAGUGGCGGACGGGUGAGGAAUACAUCGGAAUCUACUUUUUCGUGGGGGAUGACGUAGGGAAACUUACGCUAAUACCGCAUACGACCUACGGGUGAAAGCAGGGGAUCUUCGGACCUUGCGCGAUUGAAUGAGCCGAUGUCGGAUUAGCUAGUUGGCGGGGUAAAGGCCCACCAAGGCGACGAUCCGUAGCUGGUCUGAGAGGAUGAUCAGCCACACUGGAACUGAGACACGGUCCAGACUCCUACGGGAGGCAGCAGUGGGGAAUAUUGGACAAUGGGCGCAAGCCUGAUCCAGCCAUACCGCGUGGGUGAAGAAGGCCUUCGGGUUGUAAAGCCCUUUUGUUGGGAAAGAAAAGCAGCAGGUUAAUACCCCGCUGUUCUGACGGUACCCAAAGAAUAAGCACCGGCUAACUUCGUG
rnacentral:rRNA from 1 species